rnacentral:rRNA from 1 species
AGUCGAACGAGAUCAUUUGGUGCUUGCACAGAGAAGAUCUAGUGGCGAACGGGUGAGUAGCACGUGAGCAACCUACCCCGAAGACCGGGAUACACCGGGAAACCGGUGCUAAUACCGGAUACCCUCACAGCAUCACAUGGUGCAGUGAGGAAAUGGAUUCCGCUUCGGGAGGGGCUCGCGGCCUAUCAGCUUGUUGGUGGGGUAAUGGCCUACCAAGGCUUCGACGGGUAGCUGGUCUGAGAGGACGAUCAGCCACACUGGGACUGAGACACGGCCCAGACUCCUACGGGAGGCAGCAGUGGGGAAUCUUGCGCAAUGGGCGAAAGCCUGACGCAGUAACGCCGCGUGAGGGACGAAGGUUUUUGAAUUGUAAACCUCUUUCAGCAGGGACGAUAAUGACGGUACCUGCAGAAGAAGCACCGGCCAACUACGUGCCAGCAGCCGCGGUGAUACGUAGGGUGCAAGCGUUGUCCGGAUUUAUUGGGCGUAAAGGGCUCGUAGGCGGUUCGACAAGUCGGGUGUGAAAGCCCCAGGCUCAACCUGGGGACGCCACUCGAAACUGUCGUGACUAGAGUUAGGUAAGGGAUCACGGAAUUCCUGGUGU